GAGCAAUUUGUAAUUCUCAACAAGGCAGAAUUUUCUUUACUUCUUCAAACAUUUUCUCUAAAGUAUCUACAUUUGAAUCAGCUAGUAAAAUGUUAUCCAUAUAAUGAAUGCAUAUGGUGAUGUUAUACCAUGAAGGACCACGAAGUAAUAUCCUUACUGGCAGAAACAUGGGCUCACCUGUGUGAGCUUCAGCACAGCCAGCAGCAAGUUUUACAUGUAAUGUUGAUGAUAAUAGAGAUGCAUGGACCGACUGCAGCUGUGUUACCUGCAAAAUGACUGCACGUGUUUAAAGCAGUUAAAAAUUCCAGCGCACAACUGGGGAAGAUCUUAAUGCCUAGCCCCUACUGUGGAGCUAGUGGCAGUUAUGACUGCUGAGGGAGGAACAGUCACUUUCUUUGAGCAAGAUGGUCACUGCGAUGGUGGGUGCAGUUGUCAUCUCAACACAUUAUUGCUAAUGCUGUGGGUGAGUAUUUUGAAGUAGGAUUGCUGGACCACAUGAUAAUCCAACCUUCAGCCUUUGGAGAAACCUCCACACAGUUUUUCUGUAAUGCUUGAAUUAAUGUUCAUUUGCUCCACACUGUACAACUGCUCCUUUUCCCUGUAUCCUUGCCAACACCUGUUGACUUGCGUGGCAUAGUUUCUAACUACAUCUUUGACUUGCAUUGUUGUAAUGAUAAGUAAUUCUGAACAGUCUUUCAUGUAUUUACAGACUUUUUCAUUUUUUAAAUAAUAAAUAUAUACUCAGGUUCAAUUUUUCAUUA